UCGAUCACGUGUGAAUCAUCGAAUCUUUGAACGCACUUUGCACCUUGCGGCUUUUGUCACAAGGUAUACUUGUUUGAGUAUCCACAACUACCUCACCUCCCCUUCGGGGCGAAGUGGACUUGAGAUUCGAUAACUAACUAUUAGUUAGGAGUCGUUUCUUUAAAUGUGGUGGUCGCUUGUGGGAGGUCUCCGUCUGGAGCCUGACAGACUAUUGGGAUAACAUCCUGACGAUCGUCUGUCGGUUCAAUACUUGGACGUUGACUGACCUUGGCCAACAUUGAAGACAUCCUUAUCAAAUGGGACAUGUCUUCACGUAGAUCAUAAUGUAAAAGUUAUGUGACACAGUAUAAAUGGAUCUCAAAUCAAGUAAGGAUACCCGCUGAACUUAAGCAUAUCAAUAAGCGGAGG
rnacentral:rRNA from 1 species